rnacentral:tRNA from 1 species
GGAUCCGUAGCUCAGUUGGUUAGAGCAAGGGACUCAUAAUCCUUUGGUCCUUGGUUCAAGUCCAAGCGGAUCCA